UACCCGCUGAAUUUAAGCAUAUUAAUGAGGGAAGGAAAAGAAAUUAACUAAGAUUCCUUGAGUAGCGGCGAGCGAAACAGGAAAAGCCCAGCACUAAGUCCUCCAAUCGUUCUGGUUGGCAGGAGAUGCAGUGUAUGGAAAGUCUAUUAUCUUAUAUGACGAUAAUACGUUCAAGUCCAUCUUGAAUGGGGCCAUUUACCCAUAGAGGGUGCCAGGCCCGUAGUAACUAUUAUCAGUAUAAGAAGACUUUUCCAAAGAGUCGUGUUGCUUGAUAGUGCAGCACUAAGUUGGUGGUAAACUCCAUCUAAGGCUAAAUAUAACCACGAGACCGAUAGCGAACAAGUACCGUGAGGGAAAGUUGAAAAGCACUCUGAAUAGAGAGUUAAAUAGUACGUGAAACCGCUUAGGGGUUAAGCCCGAUGAACCUGAAUAUCUGAAAUGGGAAAUUCAAUACUAUUUUAAUUAAUUAUGUAAAAAUAAUUAUGCGAUGGUAUGCACUUUUCCCAUAGUAGGACAUUGCGAUCCAUUAGUAGUCUUUUAUUAGACGGUUUAUCAUACGGCCCGCGUAAUUUAGUUUAUUCAUUUUAUAAUAACUUGUUGUUAUAUCGAAUAAUAUUACAAUGGUGUCCCGAUAAACAGCUGAUGGAGCUUAACAAUCAUGCCACCAUGCAAAUGUAUCACGGUUUAUAUAAAUUAUUUAUGUAAAUGCAGUGAUCGCAUGUAUUUGAUUAGCAAUGCGAUAGAUUUGGGAUACCUUCGGGACCCGUCUUGAAACACGGACCAAGAAGUCUAACAUGUGUGUAAGUCAUUGGGUAUAUUGUUGAAACCUAAAGGCGUAAUUAAAAUAACUAUUUUAAUGGGGAUUACGAGUAAUUUUAAUAUAAUUUAUUCCUCCAUCCCGGGGCGUUCUAAUAGAACAUGGUUU
rnacentral:rRNA from 1 species